UUUUGCUCGAGUCCAUGGUGUCAGUCGGCUUACAAAGGCGUUUCUACAAAAGACAGAAUGUCAUUGUCAAAUUCUCAACCUUGGGGCUGGGAUGGAUACCACCUUCUGGAAAUUGAAGGAUGAAGAUCUUCUCCCAAGUAAAUAUUUUGAAAUCGACUUUCCAAUGAUAGUCACGCGAAAGCUGCACAAUAUCAA